rnacentral:rRNA from 1 species
UACGGGAGGCAGCAGGGGGAAUAUUGCACAAUGGGCGAAAGCCUGAUGCAGCUAUGCCGCGUGUAUGAAGAAGGCCUUAGGGUUGUAAAGUACUUUCAUCGGGGAGGAAAAAACAAAACUAAUAAUUUUAUUUCUUGACGUUACCCGAAAAAGAAGCACCGGCUAACUCCGUGCCAGCAGCCGCGGUAAUACGGAGGGUGCUAGCGUUAAUCAGAAUUACUGGGCGUAAAGAGCACGUAGGUGGUUUUUUUAAGUCAGAUGUGAAAUCCCUGGGCUUAACCUAGGAACUGCAUUUUGAAACUGAAAUACUAGAGUAUCGUAGAGGGAGGUAGAAUUCUAGGUGUAGCGGUGAAAUGCGUAGAUAUCUGGAGGAAUACCUGUGGCGAAAGCGGCCUCCUAAACGAAUACUGACACUGAGGGUGCGAAAGCGUGGGGAGCAAACAGGGAUUAGAUACC